AUUGAACGCUGGCGGCAUGCCUUACACAUGCAAGUCGAACGGUAACAGGUCUUCGGAUGCUGACGAGUGGCGAACGGGUGAGUAAUACAUCGGAACGUGCCCGAUCGUGGGGGAUAACGGAGCGAAAGCUUUGCUAAUACCGCAUACGAUCUACGGAUGAAAGCAGGGGACCGCAAGGCCUUGCGCGAACGGAGCGGCCGAUGGCAGAUUAGGUAGUUGGUGGGAUAAAAGCUUACCAAGCCGACGAUCUGUAGCUGGUCUGAGAGGACGACCGGCCACACUGGGACUGAGACACGGCCCAGGCUCCUACGGGAGGCAGCAGUGGGGAAUUUUGGACAAUGGGCGCAAGCCUGAUCCAGCAAUGCCGCGUGCAGGAUGAAGGCCUUCGGGUUGUAAACUGCUUUUGUACGGAACGAAAAGGCUCUGGUUAAUACCUGGGGCUCAUGACGGUACCGUAAGAAUAAGCACCGGCUAACUACGUGCCAGCCGCCGCCGUAAGAC
rnacentral:rRNA from 1 species